rnacentral:rRNA from 1 species
UACGUAGGGGGCUAGCGUUGUCCGGAUUUAUUGGGCGUAAAGAGCGUGUAGGCGGCCAGGCAGGUCUGGUGUGAAAACUCGAGGCUUAACCUCGAGAUGUCAUCGGAAACCAUCUGGCUAGAGUCCGGAAGAGGAGAGUGGAAUUCCUGGUGUAGCGGUGAAAUGCGCAGAUAUCAGGAAGAACACCCGUGGCGAAGGCGGCUCUCUGGGACGGUACUGACGCUGAGACGCGAAAGCGUGGGGAGCGAACAGG